rnacentral:rRNA from 1 species
UACAGAGGUCUCAAGCGUUGUUCGGAUUCAUUGGGCGUAAAGGGUGCGUAGGUGGCGGGGUAAGUCAGGUGUGAAAUCUCGAGGCUCAACCUCGAAACUGCACUUGAUACUGCCUUGCUCGAGUACUGGAGAGGAGAUUGGAAUUUACGGUGUAGCAGUGAAAUGCGUAGAUAUCGUAAGGAAGACCAGUGGCGAAGGCGAAUCUCUGGACAGUUACUGACACUGAGGCAGCGAAGGC